rnacentral:rRNA from 1 species
CCUACGGCGGCAGCAGUGGGGAAUAUUGGACAAUGGGCGAAAGCCUGAUCCAGCCAUGCCGCGUGUGUGAAGAAGGCCUUCGGGUUGUAAAGCACUUUCAGUGGGGAAGAAAGCCUUGGGGCUAAUACCCUCGAGGAAGGACAUCACCCACAGAAGAAGCACCGGCUAACUCCGUGCCAGCAGCCGCGGUAAUACGGAGGGUGCGAGCGUUAAUCGGAAUUACUGGGCGUAAAGCGCGCGUAGGCGGUCUGAUAAGCCGGUUGUGAAAGCCCCGGGCUCAACCUGGGAACGGCAUCCGGAACUGUCAGGGUAGAGUGCAGGAGAGGAAGGGAGAAUUCCCGGGGUAGCGGUGAAAUGCGGAGAGAUCGGGAGGAAUACCAGUGGCGAAGGCGGCCUUCUGGACUGACACUGACGCUGAGGUGCGAAAGCGUGGGUAGCAAACAGGAUUAGAUACCCGUGUAGUC